rnacentral:ncRNA from 1 species
AUACGAGGAAGGGCGUAGUAAGCGAUGAAAUGUUUCGGAGAGUUGAAAAUAAGCAUAGAUCCAGAGAUUCUCGAAUAGGUCAACCUUUCAAACUGCUGAAUCCAUGGGCGGGCAAGAGACAAACUGGCGAACUGAAACAUCUUACUAACAAGAGGAAAAGAAAGCAAAUACGAUUCCCGUAGUGGCGACGAGAGAAAUGGGAGCAGUCUAAAUCGUGAAAAAGGUUGUGGGAGAGCAAUACAANGCGUCGUGUGCUAGGCGAAGCAGU